CGCUGGGCGCCGUGCAAGGUUCCGGCGUGAACCCUGUCAGGGCCGGAAGGCAGCAGCAGUAAGCGAUUCGGGGUCUGUGCCGCGGAUUGUCUGGCGCGA
rnacentral:SRP_RNA from 1 species